GAGCUCAGUGUCGCUGUUUCUGCCCGAAAACCUAGUGUAAUCAGGACGAACCAGGCAAAGCUGGCGGCGCGCAGCCUGCAGUCCCAAGGAGCUCGCACAUUGUAGGGACUGUAAUCAACAGGCAGGCUGCCACACCUGCCCACUGGCACCUCCUGGCCGGCCCGGGUCUCCGGGCGAGUGGGGGUGCCUCACUACAAGCCUGGAUGAGGCGCGGCGCAGCAGGCCAGAGGAAAUACUAGAACCGAUGGUGCCAAAAAGGCAUCUCCGAGUUGCCCCCGGAGAGAAACUCAAUAGAACACCGGCAGCUUGCAAGGCAGUACAUUUUCUUGACUUUCUAACGAUCAAGGUCAUUGUUCAGUAAGGUUUACGUGUACGCCUUGAGGUAGCUUUCAUCUCUUUUCUCCACCUGCGGUGCCUGGGAUGAUUUCUCACCAGCUAUCAACGCAGGUAAUCUCAGGUAUUAUGGAAAUGGCCGUGGAGAUUAAAAGCGCAUAGAUGCAGAAGAAGUUUUAACUUUUACUGAUGCUGCCUGGUGUUCUUAACAAGGGAACAGUCUUACUCCUGAGUUAUUUGCUUGGGAUUAUAAUUGUGCUGUUUUCCAGAAUUCACCCAGGAAAGGGGUGUUUGCCAGAUGUUCGAGUUUAGUUUAUAUAUUGAACAUAUGCAAAGAUACUUCACUUCCUGCUGCAGUCCCACUUCUUGAGGGUGGGUAUUUAGACACUGAGAUGUGCUGAGUGGGACAAACGCCCCAGGUAUUACAGAGCCACAGAAUUCUUCACUCCACCCUCCUCUUGGCUGGAUCCUUAUUACAGCUCAAUUUUCCAAGAGACACUAGUAAUAUGGGAAAGAGGAUACAAAAACAUUCAUGGUCAUCGAUAGAUUCGCAGUGAUCCCCUCCUCCCCUUUGUUGACAACAUUUAAGAAUGCAUUUUUCUAUUACUGAGUUAAAAAGAGAAAGUUCUGUUUUGUGAAAAAAAAUGUUUAAAAGUCAAAUUCUGGCAAGGAAAGCUCAAGAAAAACAGGCCAACUUCAAAAGCUGAGACUAUUAUAUAUCUCAAGAAGAAAUCCUUCAUCUAUUUUUGUUAGAAAAAAAUGGAGGGAAAUUAUGUAUUUAUGGUUUUUUAAAAGCUUGUAUGAAUAAACUUAUUAGAUAAAUUCAUG
ensembl:lncRNA novel transcript